AUGGUACUCCCUCCGUCCGAAAAUACUUGUCCGAGGAAUGAAUGUAUCUAGAUGUAUUUUAGUUCUAGAUACAUCCAUUUCUAUCAUUUUUGUGACAAGUAAUUUCGGACGGAGGGAGUAUUGU
rnacentral:pre_miRNA from 1 species